rnacentral:rRNA from 1 species
UACGUAGGGUGCGAGCGUUAAUCGGAAUUACUGGGCGUAAAGCGUGCGCAGGCGGUUCGUUAUGUCCGUUGUGAAAGCCCCGGGCUCAACCUGGGAAUGGCAAUGGAAACUGGCGGGCUAGAGUGUGGCAGAGGGGGGUGGAAUUCCGCGUGUAGCAGUGAAAUGCGUAGAGAUGGGGAGGAACACCGAUGGCGAAGGCAGCCCCCUGGGCUAGCACUGACGCUCAGGCACGAAAGCGUGGGGAGCAAACAGG